UUCCGGUUGAUCCCGCCGGAGGCCACUGCUAUGGGGGUCCGACUAAGCCAUGCGAGUCAUGGGGCGCCUUGCGCGCACCGGCGGACGGCUCAGUAACACGUCGGUAACCUACCCUCGGGAGGGGGAUAACCCCGGGAAACUGGGGCUAAUCCCCCAUAGGCCUGAGGUACUGGAAGGUCCUCAGGCCGAAAGGGGCUCUGCCCGCCCGAGGAUGGGCCGGCGGCCGAUUAGGUAGUUGGUGGGGUAACGGCCCACCAAGCCGAAGAUCGGUACGGGCCAUGAGAGUGGGAGCCCGGAGAUGGACACUGAGACACGGGUCCAGGCCCUACGGGGCGCAGCAGGCGCGAAACCUCCGCAAUGCGGGCAACCGCGACGGGGGGACCCCCAGUGCCGUGGCAUCGCCACGGCUUUUCCGGAGUGUAAAAAGCUCCGGGAAUAAGGGCUGGGCAAGGCCGGUGGCAGCCGCCGCGGUAAUACCGGCGGCCCGAGUGGUGGCCGCUAUUAUUGGGCCUAAAGCGUCCGUAGCCGGGCCCGUAAGUCCCUGGCGAAAUCCCACGGCUCAACCGUGGGGCUUGCUGGGGAUACUGCGGGCCUUGGGACCGGGAGAGGCCGGGGGUACCCCUGGGGUAGGGGUGAAAUCCUAUAAUCCCAGGGGGACCGCCAGUGGCGAAGGCGCCCGGCUGGAACGGGUCCGACGGUGAGGGACGAAGGCCAGGGGAGCGAACCGGAUUAGAUACCCGGGUAGUCCUGGCUGUAAAGGAUGCGGGCUAGGUGUCGGGCGAGCUUCGAGCUCGCCCGGUGCCGAAGGGAAGCCGUUAAGCCCGCCGCCUGGGGAGUACGGCCGCAAGGCUGAAACUUAAAGGAAUUGGCGGGGGAGCACUACAAGGGGUGGAGCGUGCGGUUUAAUUGGACUCAACGCCGGA
rnacentral:rRNA from 1 species